GGAGUAGUAGGAUUGCUAGCUAAACCCUCCAAGGAGGCCGGCCACUUUAGAGAGAAAGAAGAGCUUAUGUUCUCAUCCUUUCCCCAAAAGAAAACCCUAAAUGAAUUUUGGCUAUAAAGUCAUAUUUAUACCUUUAUACAUUGGAGUGGCAAACUUGUAAUUAAGUCCAAAACCCACUCCUUUAACAAAAUGGCCAGCCAUAGGGUUUCAUUGGGCUUUUAAGGCCUUUGUGAAUUAUUUGUCAUUAAGUUGUCAUACAACUUAAGUCAAUGGGCUUGACGUUCGAAGCCCAUUGGGCCUUGAGGCCCAAAACUAUCCCGAGGUCUUUAACGAACUUAUUUGUUUGAUUAAUUAACUUAUUAAUUAAUCCUUGCCAUAAAUAAUUAAACCAUUUAAUUAUUCUUACUCAUCUCCAUUGUUU
rnacentral:lncRNA from 1 species